rnacentral:lncRNA from 10 species
AGAAAGAGAGAAGAAAAGGGAGGGAGGAAAGGAGGAAGGGAGGGAGGGAAGAAGGAAAAGAAAGGAAGGAAGGAAAGAAAGAGAAAAAGAAAGAAAGAAAGAGAAAAGGAAGGAAGGAAGAAGAAGGAAUGAAGGAAAAGAGAAAGAAAGAGAAAGAAAGAAAAAGAAAGAAAGAAUGAAGAAAAAAGAAAGAAAGAGAAAGAAAAGAAAGAAAGAAAAAAGGAAGGAAGAAAGAAGGAAAGAAGGAAGGAAGGAAGGAAAGAAAAGAAAGAAAGAAAGAAAGGGAGGGUGGGAGAAGGGCUCACCAAAAAGCUCAUUGGUGUGGGGCAAGAGUAGAGGAAAGAGAAAAACAAUGAAACUCUGAUUCUCAAAGUUUCAAAGAAAAAGCUACUACUCAGCAAUAAAAAUACAUGAAACCACACAGAUGACUUGCAGAAACAUCAUACUGAGUAAAAGAACCCAGACAGAUAAACUGGAAUAGUUUGUGAUUCCAUUUACAUGAAGUUCUUUUUUAAAAAUGCAAAAUUAUUAUAUACUGACGACAAACAAUGUAUCAAUCGCUGGGUCUGGAGUGGAGAGGAUUGCCUGUCAAGGGAGUGAAAAAUGUUCCCUAUUCGACUGUGGUGGCAGUUACACAGGGGCGGACAUGUGUUAAAAGUCAUUGACUUACACACUUAACGUGGGUGAAUUUUACUGUAGGUAAAUUAUAUCUCAAUUCAACAAGGACCUUCUGAGAAAAAAGAAAAAAUAUAAGCUACCCUAAAAAUACAUCUAACACAAAAUCUCUGAGAUGUGUAUGGAGAAAACUUAAAACUCUACACAACAUUAAAGAAGAUAUAAAUAAAGUGAAAGAAAGACUUAAUCGGCCUGGUGCAGUGGCUCAUGCCUGUAAUCCC